ACUCCUACGGGAGGCAGCAGUGGGGAAUAUUGCACAAUGGGCGCAAGCCUGAUGCAGCCAUGCCGCGUGUGUGAAGAAGGCCUUAGGGUUGUAAAGCACUUUCAGCAGUGAGGAAAGGAUUGUAGUUAAUACCUGCAAUCUGUGACGUUAACUGCAGAAGAAGGACCGGCUAACUCCGUGCCAGCAGCCGCGGUAAUACGGAGGGUCCGAGCGUUAAUCGGAAUUACUGGGGCGUAAAGCGCGCGUAGGCGGUUUGUUAAGUCAGAUGUGAAAGCCAGGGCUCAACCUUGGAACUGCACCUGAUACUGGCAAACUAGAGUACAGAAGAGGGUGGUGGAAUUUCCUGUGUAGCGGUGAAAUGCGUAGAUAUAGG
rnacentral:rRNA from 1 species